rnacentral:sRNA from 1 species
GCCGGACACGGUGGCCCACAUCUGUCAUCCCAGUGGCUCUGGAGGCUGAGGCAGGAGGAUCUCGAGUUGGAGGCCAGCCUCAGCAAAACCUCAGCAAAACCUCAGCAAAACCCAGAGCCCCAGCCUCAGCCCUAUUUUCUAUUUGAUUUAGAGUCAGGGUCUCGCUGAGUUGCUCAGGGCCUUGCUAAGUGGCUGAGGCUGGCCUCCAACUUACGAUCCUCCUGCCUCAG